rnacentral:lncRNA from 1 species
UCCCCUCUCGCCGUUCCUCCUCCACCAUUGCCGCUCCCGGAGUCCGUAGAACCUCCCCGUAGCCUUGCCCACCCAGUUUGCCCACCGGAGCUCCCUGUUCGCUGGAGUCCGAAGACCAUCUCCGCCGCGAGCCCUGCUGCUCCUUCUCCCGUACUCCUCGCCGGCAACGGACGCCACCACGGGUUGCGCCUCGUCCUCCUGAGCUCGUGGGUAGGUCGCCCGUCGCCUGCCGUGACCGGACGCGCCGGCGAGCGCCGUCGAGGCGGCCAUCGCCCUCUGUCCGUCGCGCCCCGAGCGGGAGGAAGAAGAAGGGAGCUGACCUGGCCAGGCGGGCCCCGCACCGUUUCCCCGACCCCACCUGGCAGCGACCCAGUCGGCCGGCCCCGCCGCUGCCGCGUUGACCGGUCCUACCAGUGUGGAUAAGUGGCAGCGCCCCGGCACGAAAUCGUUUCCCCGCACCAAAAGCGUAUUUCUGAAAAUGCGCUUCCCUUAACCGAAAGCGUAUUUGCUUCCUCUUCGGUUCAGAGUGCGCUUUCCUCUCUGGAAAGCGUAUUUCUGAGAAAGGCGCGUUCAGUUUUUCCUCCAGGGUCUGUUUGCUGAAAAACUUUCACUGAUAGGUCCCUGAACUUCAAACCUUCGUAUCUCCACAACCGUAACUCUGAUUGAGGUGAAACCAAUGCUCACGUCUUCGUCUCGUCGAACUCUUUCCGUUGGUAUCAUUUUCAUUAUGUUUUCACACAGUGAAAAUGACCACUUUGCCCUUGCCCGUAAACAGCCCCCUCCGAGAGAGAACUGUUUUCGGCAAAUCUUUCCGCGAUCGUUCCACACUUUUUCCUGGAGUAAUCCUCGACCCCAGGCAAGCCAACCUCUUAUCAUGAGCGUCGAAAUUGCACGUUGACUUUGCUUGCACCUCGCGUGUGUGCUUAGUUGCAGUAGUUUCUUGUCUGUUUCGUCUGCUAUUAUUUCAGUCGUGCUAACUAGUUUUGUUAUCUGCCUUGCAUGCUUGAAUUUUCAUUAAAUAAGUUGCCUUGCUAGUUUAAUGUUGUUACUGAUAAUAUCAUGCCUCUGUUUAGUUUCAUGUCAGUGGUAUCGUUGUUAUGUUGCACUGAUAAGAUUGCUAGUACUUGGUAUUGCCAUGUUUCAUAUGAUAUCACAGUUACUUGAAAUGCUUGAUGUUUUGUUACUGCAUUGGUAGGUUGCAUGUUAGUUGUUGCAUUCCUGUUAAUAAUGCUUACAUGAUGAUUGAUGGUGGAGAAGUUAAGAAUAUGACUUAAUAACAAACCUCCUCCGUCAUCACUAGGAUAUCAUAGUGCCACUCCAAUCGAGCUUUCUCCAGUGCAACCACGCUUACCUAAUGGGAAGGUCCUUGCUGGGUCUAUUGUCAUGCCUCUCGCCGAUUCCUCCCGUGAGGGAAGGUUAUGGGCGCGCGCUACCCUGAUCAGGUAGGCGGACAUAACCUUGUGUGCUCAUUUUUGUUUUUAUGGUACCUUGUCCCCGUUUGGGACCGUUUUGCCACGACGGUGGCCAUUGGUGUCUUUGGUAGACACGGGGCCACCCAGGACUGAACCCCAAGAGGGUGUUGGUCGGAGUGGCUGGGAGAGCGUCAUGGCAGUAGCUCGGUUUUGUCGGAGCGCCGUGUCCGCACGUAUGGGAGUGCGAGGCUAGGGUUCCUUGGUGUGGGUACAGUGUGCUACCUCUGCAGAGUGUAUUCAAUCUAUCGAUAGCCGCGUCCUCGGUCAUGGGAAAAAGUUCGUAGUAGGUCACACUAUCCGGUCUCGAUAGAAAUGGAGGAUAAACCUUAAAUAACUAAGUGGAUGAAUAAUGUGAAAUAAUGUGAUGACUUGGAUUGUGAGACAGUCGUGAGUAAUCACGAUGAUGAGUUGGUAUGAUCACGAGACAAGGUCUCGGUGAGUAUUGAACCAAGUGUGGUUCCGUUGGUGAUCCGUGCAUGAUCAUCGCUUGGUUGCGAGGCAACCCACUGGUAAGAGAGUCCGAAGGACUCGGUGCACAUGUUUAUUUGCAUUGCAUGAGUAGUAAGUUGUUGUUUGCAUUUAAAGAACCAUGGUAGAACGGUAGAUGGUUGCAUAAAGUUAACAUGUUAUGUUUGCAUUGGAUAUGACGGGUAGUUUAUUUUCAGCAUAGUUUCAUGAUGGCAUGCCAUGUUUUGAUUGAACUUAUGCCAUGCUUUGAUAUGCCAUGUUCUGAUUGAAAUGUCAUGCUAUGUUUUGAUGUUGCCAUGUUAUAAGUAAGUUUGAUAUGCCAUUGCCAUGCUUAGUUUCUGCUAUGAGGUAGGUUAUUGCAGACGCUUGGUUCUUGCUUUGUCAUCUGUUUGUUUGCAUGCUAUGUAUUUGGUUGUCUUGCAAGUACAUUCAAUGUACUAACCUGGCAUGUCAUGCCAGUUUUGUAGGUCGUGCCCAGAUUGUUCGCUUGUUCCGUCAUGCUAGGCCGUAAUCUUGCCAGUCCUGUGAGUUAUGGAGCCCAGCCAGACUUGUAGCUGCCAAACCAAGACUUCCGCCGCCAUUUCAAUAGACUUCCACUGCCGUUUAAAAUGCCUUAGGGCUAUGCCAGAUAAUUGUAUUCAUCAAUGAUGUAAUCUUAUACACAUGUAUUUGAUGAAUAUUAUUGCACCUGGAAUGCUGUAUCAUGGACCUGUCGUGCGUCAGGUGUUAUCCUGGGCUGACGUGCGAAGGCCCCCUGCUCCAUGCGGAUCGGGGUGCCACAGCAUAUUGCCAU